UAUAUUUGACAGACUGCACCGGUCUUCGGAAACUUCCGAGAAUCAUCAAUAAAAUAAAAUCUCUAGAAACUUUGAUUCUUUCUGGAUGUUGAAUGAUUGACAAAUUGGAGGAGGACAUAGAACAGAUGGAGCCGUUGAUUACCUUGAUUGCGGAUAAGACUGCCAUAAAAAAAAGUGCCAUUUUCAAUAGUAAGAUUGAAAAGCAUUGGAUAUAUUUCUUUAUGCGGCUUUGAAGGAUUUUCACGUGAUGUAUUCCCUUCUCUCAUUCGCUCUUGGAUAUCGCCAUCAAAUAACAUAAUAUCCUUAGUUCAAACAUCUGUGUCCAUGUCAUCACUUGGCUCUUCCAAGGACCUUCAAAAACUUCGAAUUCUUUGUGUAGAGUGUGGUUCAGAUCUACAACAAACUCAAUACAUAGCAAGAUUUUUGGAUGUAUUAAAAGCCACAAAUUGUCAGAACUUGGAAGCAAGUGCAAGUUCAACUACAUCAGAGAUCUUUGAUAUGUAUGCUUCUCCCUUAAUUGAUGAUUGACUUGGUCAAGUGCGCACUUCAGAGUCAAAGAAUCACUUGAAAUGUCUCUUAGUUCAAAUAGGAACAAAAUUCCAAGUCUCCAAAAUUGCCAAAGACAGUGUUUUACAGACUACAGAUGAGAUUUGGGAUUCAUUUUUCCCCCCUGUGACAAUAAUUCUGAAUGGUCAACCUUUAGUUGCAAAGGUUGUUCCAUAAUAUUUGAUAUCCCUGCAAUGAAGGGCCGAAACCUGAAGAGUAUGAUGUUGUUCACCGUCUAUCACUCUCCCUCGGAAAACAUAACAUCUGAAGGUUGCCAAGUGUUGGGUCGUCCAGCACAAAGUUCUUCAACCUCAGGCAUGGGAGUUUACGGAGUUUUCUCGCUUUGGCAAGUUUGGUCUUGUUGUGAACUCGCUUUGGCAUGUUGAGCGCUAGCAAUCCUGGGACUUUCUGCC